CCUACGGGAGGCAGCAGUGAGGAAUAUUGGUCAAUGGACGAGAGUCUGAACCAGCCAAGUAGCGUGAAGGAUGACUGCCCUAUGGGUUGUAAACUUCUUUUAUAUGGGAAUAAAAUGUUCCACGUGUGGGAUUUUGUAUGUACCAUAUGAAUAAGGAUCGGCCAACUCCGGGCCAGCAGCCGCGGUAAUACGGAGGUUCCGAGCGUUAUCCGGAUGUAUUGGGUGUAAAGGGAGCGUAGGUGGAUUGUUAAGUCAGUUGUGAAAGUUUGCGGGUCAACCGGAAAAUUGCAGUUGAAACUGGCAGUCGUGAGUACAGUAGAGGUGGGCGGAAUUCGUGGUGGAGCGGUGAAAUGCUUAGAUAUCACGAAGAACGCCGAUUGCGAAGGCAGUUCACUGGACUGCAACUGACACUGAGGCUCGAAAGUGUGGGUAUCAAACAGGAUUAGAUACCCUAGUAGGC
rnacentral:rRNA from 1 species